UACGAAGGGGGCUAGCGUUGCUCGGAAUGACUGGGCGUAAAGGGCGCGUAGGCGGAUGGCACAGUCAGAUGUGAAAUUCCCGGGCUUAACCUGGGGGCUGCAUUUGAUACGUGUUGUCUAGAGUGAGGAAGAGGGUUGUGGAAUUCCCAGUGUAGAGGUGAAAUGCGUAGAUAUCUGGAGGAAUACCGGUGGCGAAGGCGGCAUCCUGGACCGACAUUGACGCUGAUGAGCGAAAGCUAGGGGAGCAAACGGGG
rnacentral:rRNA from 1 species